AGGGCCUACCGGAUGAUUGGCACCGAGUGCUGGGUUAGCCUCCGGACUCCUGCUAGGCUCCCUCGGUGCUGAGUGAAGGAGCGCCACGUGGCUCUUGGCCACUUCUGGCUAGCCUGGUUGUCCCCAAGCUGCAAGGUGAUGAAUCCCAUGGAGUGACGACAUUCUAUUUCUCAAGAUCCGACCUUCUCACAUUCUGCCUCUCUUCCAUCAGACUGUUCAAACAAUGGACUGGAAGAAAUUGCAGUUUCCCCAGGACUCUCAUUCUGGAAGAAGAGAAAGAUUAAAGCCUGGACCAGCCAGAAAGGAAGCUUAUCUCCUGGAACUUUUAAACCACUGUGCCAAAAACACUCCAGUCCUCCACUUACACUGUAACCUUGGGUCAGGACCCUGAAGAUGCACUUGGAAAGUUACUGGGCCUCUCUGUCUCUGUUCCUAGUGUGCUCAUAUUAAAUUAAUUUCCCUCUUCUGCUUUUGCUAUUAAUUUAGAUCUAUUAAUCUACUUAUCUAAGACAGAUGCCUGAACCUGGCUUGUGACACAGGCUGUAACCUUAAGUCCAGUGACACUGGUGUCUGUAUUAUCAUGAAAGUGAUUUCAUAAUUAGAUCAUAAAUGUUGACAAUGUGCCCUUGAGAUUCUUUUCUUUUGAUCUAGCACAGACACUACAACUGAAGCCCCUCAGAGCUUCACACAGGGAAACUGAGGCUUCUCCUGGAUAGCAGCGUAAAAACUGGGCCAGUUUAACACAUCUGCUUUCAGUUAACCUCAUAGAAGCUGGGGAGACAGAUCUGGGACAGGUGUGGCCAUCCUUCUGGGCCAGGUUUAACAGAGUAAAAGUUUCUCCUAUACCCAGAGACCAUCUGUUCAGCCUCUAGUGGGGCCUCCCAAAGCUGACCCCAUCUGGGAAGUGCCCUGUGUGUACAGCUGGCUUCCUGCCUCCUUGCUGGAGAAGAGGCUGGCCUUCUGACCUGCCAGGCUGUCUGUUGUGUUUCUAAACAAUGCUUACGGUCGUCCUGCUUCCUCUCCAGAGACUCUGCUGCCUCUCAGCGCUGCUGUCAAGAUCGGGGCAGGACGCUUCAUGUUUCUUCCUGCUCUUGCCUGAGUUUUCUACUACAGUACUUAUAUUAACUAGAUAAUAUAUUAUCUAUAUAUUAUUCAUAUUAUCCAUGUCUAUCUAUGUACUUAUACAUAGAUAUAUCUAUAUAGUUAGAUUAUAUUAACUAGAUAGGUGAUUUAAUGAUUACAUUAACAAAUAACUAGAAAAGCGACUUGAGAAGGUUAAGUAGAGGGUUUAAGAUGUUUUAACAGCAAGACACUAACUUCCCUUGCUAGCCCUUUACUUGUCACCAAACAGAUCAGUUCCAUCUUAUGGUUAUAAAAUGGCAUACCUCAGCCUAUAAGAGCAGGGGGCAUAUCUCGCUUGAUGGAUAUUAACGUUAGGGGCUUGUUGUUGUCACGCAAAAGCACAGCUCUCACCUCAAAGGGGAUACAGACAUAGUUUAUUCUGCAGCCAAAUAUGAGGCCCAGGUAACCAUGGCCCAGGAACACAGAAUCAGGUUACCCCAGAUUCCAUCUUCCAGUGUGGAAAGCAGCAUAUAACAUAGAAUACCAUAAAUCAAGGUAAAUUUCAACUACAGUGGUGGAAACAUUCCUCCAUUUUCAGAACCAGCAGCAGUCAGAUCUCUCUCUCUCUCUGGACAAAACCUGAGGAGGAUUUCUGUAGGACUGAGGGUGGCCACGUGACUCUAAUCCCAUACUGAGGGAGAAUGGGAGAGAACCCUGGUGGGACAGAGGAGACAUUCUAAGUUCUAAAGAGAGACACUUGUGUCCCACCAUAUAGAGAAUGGAGCCAGCAGAGGUGACCUGGUGGCUGACAAAUGGCCUCAAAGCCAAAUCUGUGUAUUGGGUAGGAGUCAACUAUAAGCUGGUCAUAUAAAAAGGAAUAAAGGGAGGACAUAGUUUAAUUAAGGACCAGUAAAAAAAGCCAAGGGGGAGAAAAAGAACGAAUGGAGAGUCAGCAUGUGACUAUGCCUGUGAUUGGGUAAAAAGAAAAAAAAAAUCACAUGGUAUGUCCCUGGUUGGACCAACAGGGUGUAUGUGUGAGCCCACAGACAUACCC
ensembl:lincRNA Gm27174 predicted gene 27174